rnacentral:sRNA from 1 species
GCCGGGUGGUGGUGGCGCACGCCUUUAAUCCCAGCACUUGGGAGGCAGAGGCAGGUGGAUCUCUGUGAGUUCGAGGCCAGCCUGGUCUACAAGAGCUAGUUCCAGGACAGGCUCCAAAACUACAGAGAAACCCUGUCUCGAAAAAUAAAAAAAUUAAAAAAAAACAAAACCUUGAGACAGUUUUUAUCCCUGGCUGGCCUGCUUGCUGUGUAGACCAGGUUGGCCUCAAACUCAGAGAUCUGUCUGUUUCUU